GUUGAAGUUACACACAGUCAAAAACAGUAUAUUGUUUAGGUUUGAAAGUUUUCUGUAGAGAAAAUAUAAAGUUAAAACAGUAUACAGCCAACCAUGUUGAAGUUACACACAGUCAAAAACAGUAUAUUGUUUAGGUUUGAAAGUUUUCUGUAGAGAAAAUAUAAAGUUAAAACAGUAUAUAGCCAACCAUGUUGAAGUAACACACAGUCAAAAACAGUAUAUUUUUUAGGUUUGAAAGUUUUCUGUAGAGAAAAUAUAAAGUUAAAACAGUAUAUAGCCAACCAUGUUGAAG
rnacentral:lncRNA from 1 species